rnacentral:rRNA from 1 species
UUUCGCAAUGCCCGAAAGGGUGACGAAGCGACGCCGCGUGUGGGAAGAAGGCCUUCGGGUUGUAAACCACUGUCGGGAGUUAGGAAAUGUAAGGGUGUUAAUAGCAUCCUUACUUGACUAAGGCUCCGGAGGAAGCCACGGCUAACUCUGUGCCAGCAGCCGCGGUAAUACAGAGGCGGCAAGCGUUGUUCGGAAUUAUUGGGCGUAAAGAGCACGUAGGCGGCCUUGUAAGUCAGUUGUGAAAGCCUUCUGCUUAACGGAAGGACAGCAGCUGAUACUGCAAGGCUAGAGUGCGGAAGGGGAGAGUGGAACUUCUGGUGGAGCGGUGAAAUGCGUAGAUAUCAGAAGGAACACCGGCGGCGAAGGCGACUCUCUGGUCCGUAACUGACGCUGAGUGUGCGAAAGCUAGGGGAGCAAACGGGAUUAGAUACCCCGGUAGUCCUAGCCGUAAACGAUGGGCACUAAGUAGAGGGGUUUUA